UACGUAGGGUGCGAGCGUUGUCCGGAAUUAUUGGGCGUAAAGCGCACGUAGGCGGCUUUGUAAGUUAGAGGUGAAAGCCCGGGGCUCAACCCCGGAAUUGCCUUUAAGACUGCAUCGCUAGAAUUGUGGAGAGGUAAGUGGAAUUCCGAGUGUAGAGGUGAAAUUCGUAGAUAUUCGGAAGAACACCAGUGGCGAAGGCGACCUACUGGACACAUAUUGACGCUGAGGUGCGAAAGCGUGGGGAGCAAACAGG
rnacentral:rRNA from 1 species